rnacentral:rRNA from 1 species
GUGGCUGGUAUGCUAACACGAUGCAAGUCGAACGAAAGUUAUACUUAGCUGGCGGACGGGUGAUAUCUGAGAAUCUACCUUUAUGAAGGGAAUAACACUUGGAAACGAUGUGCUAAUGCCCUAGUAUGCUUAGCAGUGAAACAGAUGUUCUGCCUGAAGAUGAGCUCGCGCCUGAUUAGCUAGUUGGUAGAGUAAACGCCUACCAUGAGCACGAUCAGUAGCUGGUUUGAGAGGACGAUCAGCCACACUGGGACUGAGACACGGACCAAACUUCAUACGGAAGGCAGCAGUGGGGAAUUUUCCGCAAUGAGCGAAAGCUUGACGGAGCAAUACCGCGUGAGGGAAGAAUGCCUGUGGGUUGUAAACCUCUUUUAAAAGGGAAGACAAUCUGACGGUACCUAAAGAAUAAGCAUCGGAUAACUCCGUGCCAGCAGACGCGGUAAUACUGGGGAAUUGCAAAGCGUCAUCCGGAAUUACUGGGCCGUAACAGCGUCCUGCAAGUGGCUUAAAAAGUCUGAUGGUAAGCUUUUAGAGGCUCAAUUCUGAGUAAGCAGUGGAAACUGUUAGGUAGAGUAUUGGAUGGGUAAAGGGACUUCCCAGUUUUACGGUGCAAUGAGUAGAUAUUGGAAGAAAACAAUAAGGAAAAGCUU